rnacentral:rRNA from 1 species
CAGCAGCCGCGGUAACACCGAGGGUGCGAGCGUUAAUCGGAUUUACUGGGCGUAAAGCGUGCGUAGGCGGCUUCUUAAGUCGGAUGUGAAAUCCCUGAGCUUAACUUAGGAAUUGCAUUCGAUACUGGGAAGCUAGAGUAUGGGAGAGGAUGGUAGAAUUCCAGGUGUAGCGGUGAAAUGCGUAGAGAUCUGGAGGAAUACCGAUGGCGAAGGCAGCCAUCUGGCCUAAUACUGACGCUGAGGUACGAAAGCAUGGGGAGCAAACAGGAUUAGAUACCCGCGUAGUCCCUGUCUCUUAUAC